UUUUUAUGGGUUGCGAAGUCGCGAGGCGGAGCUAAUCCCCAAAAGCCAUCUCAGUUCGGAUUGCACUCUGCAACUCGAGUGCAUGAAGUCGGAAUCGCUAGUAAUCGCGGAUCAGCAUGCCGCGGUGAAUACGUUCUCGGGCCUUGUACACACCGCCCGUCACACCAUGGGAGUUGGUUUUGCCUGAAGACGGUGUGCUAACCGCAAGGAGGCAGCCGGCCACGGUAGGGUCAGCGACUGGGGUGAAGUCGUAACAAGGUAGCCGUAGGGGAACCUGCGGCUGGAUCACCUCCUUUCUAAGGAAGAUGUUGAGUAUCAUUGAAUUUAUUGAGUGAUCUGAACGUUUUUUGAAGAUUAAAGCUUUUAAUUAAGCUUGAUAUAAAUUUGCUGUUGUGAAGCAGCGUUUUUAAAAGGAUCGCCGUCCAUGUUUCUCUUUCUUUUCGGAUUUUUUGCGAUGAUGGGGGGUCGUUAAUAUUUGGUUUUGAGGGCCCGUAGCUCAGGUGGUUAGAGUGCACCCCUGAUAAGGGUGAGGUCGGUAGUUCAAAUCUACCUGGGCCCACCACUUUUUGUUCAGGGGGCCGUAGCUCAGUCGGUAGAGCGCCUGCUUUGCAAGCAGGAUGCCAGCGGUUCGAUUCCGCUCGGCUCCACCAUUGGCGUAAUUAUGGAAUUUUGUUCUGAUUUUUUGGAGCAAGAGUUUUUUGAAAAUUGAAUAGAAGAUAUAUUUUUUUGUAUUUUUUAUGUUGGCAUUGUAUGCGACAUUUAAGAUACCGGCGUUGUUAACCGCACGUUGAGAAUUUAUCUCAGGAAAUUGGUCUAUUGAAGAAGCAUAAGGAUAUUAUGUUUUUUUAAUUAUCAAGAGUUUGCAAAGAACUUUAUGACGAUUGACAAUGAGAGUAAUCAGGCGCGAGAAAAGGCGGAAAA
rnacentral:misc_RNA from 1 species